rnacentral:misc_RNA from 1 species
AACUUUUGGCAAUGGAUCUCUUGGCUCUCGCAUCGAUGAAGAACGCAGCGAAAUGCGAUAAGUAAUGUGAAUUUGAAUGCAUCUUGCGCUCCUUGGUAUUCUGAGGAGCAUGCCUGUUUGAGUGUCAUUAAAUUCUCAACUACACUGACUUGGUGUGGCUUGGAUUUGGGGGUUGUGGGCUUUUUGUAGUCUGCUCCCCUGAAAUUAAUUAGCGGUACCUUGGUGGAACUGUCUACAGGUGUGAUAAUUAUCUACAUCCUAGACAUCUGCUGGAAUGCUGCUUUCUAGAUCUUAUUUGUAUUGACAAUCUUGACCUCAAAUCAGGUAGGACUACCCGCUGAACUUAAGCAUAUCAAUAAGCGGAGGCU